UCCCAGGGCUUUUACACUUUCCCAGUCU
rnacentral:piRNA from 1 species